rnacentral:lncRNA from 1 species
CGUGCAGAGAUGCGUGACGCCGAACUGGCCUCGGCCUAGCUCUUUGCCUAGAGAGUAUGAGGAUUUUACAUCUUCCAUGGGACGGCCUAAGACGGGUCCUAUGGGGCCUUGUUUUGUUGCGGGAGGAGGAGAAGGUUUGACAUAUGGCAGCUUGAGGGAGAAGCCACUUCCCGGGCUAUUCGUUUGGCUCGUUUUGUUAACACGCCUCUCUAUGUUGUUCAUGUGAUGAGUGUUGACGCAAUGGAUGAGAUUGCUAAAGCUCGAAAAGCAGGUUCUCUUUUCCUUUUUUCUUUUUCUCUGCUCCUUGUAUGGAACAACCAUUAGUGUAACAUAUAGGUUGAUUUCUAGAGUCCUUGUCAAAAGAUAAAGAGUUACCUUUUUUCUAUAAAUGUAUUUCAGGGCAGAAGGUUAUUGGAGAGCCUGUGGUGUCCGGAUUAAUCCUCGAUGACCACUGGCUUUGGGAUCCUGACUUCACAAUUGCAUCCAAGUAAGAAAAUUCUCUCAGCUCUGCUGUUCAAAGAGGUUCCCAUGUAUUCUUUCAGGUUUUGAAGUUUUUUUUUCUCUCAAUAUUUGAGGUAUGUUAUGAGUCCACCAAUUAGACCAGUAGGCCAUGGAAAAGCCCUUCAAGAUGCCCUAUCAACAGGAAUCCUUCAGGUUUGUUUCCUUGAUAUGCGUUAAGUAGAGAAACAUGAGCUAUAGGAACUGAUCACUGCACUUUCUUGGCAUUAUCUCUGCAGCUUGUAGGAACUGAUCACUGCACAUUCAAUUCUACACAAAAAGCUCUGGGACUUGAUGAUUUCCGCAAAAUACCUAAUGGUGUUAAUGGUAUAAUCUUGUUCUCUGCGCUCAUUUGUCUCUGCUUCUGUGCUAAUCUAUUCGGAUUUAUAAAAAUACUUUGGACUUGUCCAUGUUUAGGCCUUGAAGAACGGAUGCACCUGACAUGGGACACGAUGGUGGUAAGUACUCACUCAUCAGCUAAAAUCUUCUUUCUUUACAUGUGUUUUUAAUCGGUUUAUUAUAUCAUAAUCCAGGGGUCUGGCCAAAUCUCUGCUACUGAUUUUGUUAGAAUAACCAGCACAGAGUGGUACGUUUGCCAUUAAUCACUGGUUUUCUUGAUAUCGAUGAUAUGCUUUUUGAUUUCAUUUUAUUGACUAAUGAGUUUGAUUAUCAGCGCUAAAAUUUUCAACAUAUAUCCACGGAAAGGAGCUAUCCUUCCUGGCUCGGAUGCAGACAUCAUUAUACUGAAUCCAAACUCAAGCUACGAGAUUACCUCAAAGUCUCAUCAUUCAAGAUCCGACACUAAUGUCUAUGAAGGCAGAAGAGGACAGGUAAUAUAUGGAUUUUGCAAAGCCUCCUCUUGACUGAUAUGUACAAAACAAAAGUUUCUGAUGAUGACAACAUUUUUGUUCUCAGGGAAAAGUUGAAGUGACAAUAGCGGGAGGACGAAUCGUAUGGGAAAACGAUGAGCUUAAAGUUGUUCCAGGAAGUGGAAAGUAUGUAGAGAUGCCUCCUUUCAGCUACCUUUUCGAUGGGAUUGAGAAAUCUGAUGCUAACUAUCUCUCUUCUCUCCGAGCUCCGGUGAAACGUGUCAGGUCUGAAGCUACUACUUAAGUUGCAAGUAUCACCAUCUGCAAAUUCCUCAUUUGAUUCUAUAUAAGAAUAGUUGUACAUAACAUUACUUUUUUCAACAAGAUCUGAAGAGCGAUUAUGUAUAAAAUCUGUUCUCUACUCCAGUUUUUUGUUUCUUAGUUUGUUUGAGCCUUGGUCUCUGUUCUCUAUCUCAAGAACAGAUACCAAGAUCAAAAGAAAGAUUAUGAAUAAAAGCUGUUCUAUACUCUAGAAUUGAUAAUAUUGUGUUGUAGCAUGUACUCUUCACUCUCCAACACAACGCUCAAAAGCAUCCAAAUCACAAACUUCAUUUCUAAUGGGCCUUUUAAUUGGGCUUAUAACUAUUAGACUAAUUAGUUUCAACACCGUCAAUAACUGGAUCUAAAAGACGGGUUUACCCUUUACUUUAUCCGUCUAUAUAUACAGAACAUCAUCGAAACCGCAAGUACUAGAAAUUUAUUUUCCGACAGAAGAAGAUUUAUCUGUGCGACGGUAAUAACAAAUCUCCGGCGACAAGGAGAAGCAGGAGAUAGAGAGCUAUGACGACAGUCAGUCUCCGCAAGCAAAACACGAGGCUCCCACCAGAAGUAAACCGCGUGCUCUACGUCCGCAACCUCCCCUUCAACAUAACGAGCGAGGAGAUGUACGACAUCUUCGGCAAGUACGGCGCGAUCCGCCAGAUUCGGAUCGGAUGCAACAAGGACACGAAAGGCACGGCCUUCGUCGUCUACGAGGACAUCUACGACGCGAAACAAGCCGUGGACCAUCUCUCCGGGUUCAACGUCGCGAACCGGUACCUGAUCGUGCUCUACUACCAGCACGCGAAGAUGAGCAAGAAGUUCGACCAGAAGAAGAGCGAGGAAGAGGUCGCCAAGCUGCAGGAGAAGUACGGUGUCUCCACCAAAGAUAAGUAAACACGUGUGUACUCGAUUCGAUUCUGCGAUUUAGGGUUUCAAUUGGGGAAAAAAAAAUCGAACCUUUUUUGCUUAAUCUUGGUAUGUAUGUUUGAACCAUUCAAUGAAAAAUUCCUCUUUUCAGCUCCAUGUAGCUAUUAAUGUUACAAAGUGUUGUGCUUUGAUGCAGUUGAUGAUCUGGACUGGUUAGUGUUUUGCUAAGAGGUUUAGUGUUCUGCGAUUUAGGGUUUCAAUUGGGGAAAAAAAUCGAACCUUUUUGCUUAAUCUUGGUAUGUAUGUUGAACCAAUCAAUGAAAAAUACCUUUUUUAGUUCCAAUUAGCUAUUGAUGUUACAAAGUAUUGUGCUUUGAUGCAGUUGAUGAUCUUGUAUUCAGCUUUGUAUCUUUGUUCAGGAGUGGUUAGUGUUUUUGCUAAGAGGUUAAGAACAUGUAUCACUAACACAUACAAUAGAAUUGAAAAAGAAUCUCUUAAGUACAUUAAGAAACCAGAAAAUAUAAAUGUACAAUAAAUCAAACACCUUCCCCCCAAAUCCUCAAUUAAUGAUUUUUUUUUCUCCCUGCUUGAGCCUUCUCAUCUCUUAAACGAUGUCCUCCUGUUUCAAUCAUUAGUAAUCCGAGCAUGCUUUUAAUUUUUGAUUGCCUCAUUGUUAAAAGGAAGAUGAUUUUUCUCUCGACUCAUGUUCUGCUCUCUUUUUGAUAUCUUCUCUCUUCCUCUCUACUUUCAACGUUUGGUGGUGUCAUUUAAACGAAAGGUCACGCCGCUUCUUUGGGAUAGGAUCAGGGUUUCCUUUUCUCAUCAUUGCCACGAACUCGUCGUAGUUUAUCCGACCAUCCUGCAUCAGAGAUUUUGGUUAUGUUAAUAAUGAGGUUGUUAGAUGCUUUGUUUCGGUUUGAAGGGGGAGUGUUGUUUUCUUACAUUGUCUCCAUCGACCUCUGAAAUUAUCUCUUUAAUGUCUCUGCCAUCGUUCAUCCCAAACUCCCGGAGGGCUUGUUCCAGCUCUUCCAUAGUAAUAUAUCUGGGAUCAACAAGCAUCAUUUGAGGUGUUCAUUUGGAUUCAUAGCAAGCUUUGUACUUCUGUCUUUGGUGUUUGAAGUAUGUUAAGAAUCAUUUAUAUACAGUGCUUACCCGCUGUUGUCUUUGUCAAAGUGUUGGAAGGCUGAGUAGAGAUGUUCUUCUCUGUCAAGUCUGUUGAUAUGCAUUGUGGCUGCGAUAAACUCACCAUAGUCUAUUGUUCCAUUACCAUCAGCAUCAGCCUGUUCCAUCAAGAGUAAAAACAGAAAACUAGUGGUGAGUCUGCUUCCUUGUUGCCAGCAUAUGACAGAGGGUAAAAUUGUUGUUAGUAAGCAAAGGGCUUACAGCUUCCAUUAGUUGCUGGACUUCGUACUCUGACAACCUUGUACCUUGCUUAGCGAGUCCCUGUCUUAGCUCCUCGAGUGUAAUCGUUCCACUGUUGUCAGUGUCCAUACCUUUAAACAUCUCCUUCAACCCCAUGAUCUCUUCCUCUGAUAAGCAGCCUGCUAUCACCCUCAAUGCAACUUUCUUGAAAUUGUUCAUUGCUUUGAAUUGCUUGAGCCUGGACAUCACCGCAUUGUCAAGAGGAACAUCUGGUGCUUCUCCAUCUUCCUUGAUCCAUGGAUGAUCUUAACAAAAGAGAGAGAAAACAUUAAUUAUCAUGGAAAGGGAUUGUUAUACUUUAUUGGUGUGUUUUGUAGAUGCUUACUGAGAACUUGAGCAGCAGUUAGUCUUUGCUUGGGAUCAGAGUUGAGCAUCUUCUUAACAAGAUCCUUCGCCUGAGGUGAGAUGGAUGGCCAUGGAUCACUUGAGAAAUCAACAUGGCUCUUUAAGAUGGCGUUGAAUAUCCCAUUCUCCGAUUCUAUAAUCAUCAGGUAAUAAUCACAACACAUUAAUAUAUUUAAACAAAUUUUUUUUAUUUGUGGAAAAAUGAAGAAAGUGGAAAUGAUCUUGACCAGCCCAAAAGGGAGGGACACCACAUAAGAGGAUAUACAACAUGACACCAAUACUCCAAAUAUCAGCUUCUGGUCCAUACUUCCUUUUCAAAACCUCAGGCGCUAUGUAAUAAGCACUACCCACAAUAUCCUUAAACACCUCUCCCGGCUUGUAGAAUACAGACAGCCCAAAGUCAGUGGCCUUGAGAGGAGCCUUCUCAUCUUUGCUGAGCAACAAAAAGUUCUCAGGCUUCAAGUCCCUGUGAAUAACCCCCAUGGAAUGACAAGUAUGCACAAUCUGAACAAUAGUUCUCAACAAGGAAGCAGCUGCUCUCUCCGAGUAAUGUCCUUUAGCAAUAAUCCUAUCGAACAGCUCUCCACCAGCGCAAAGCUCCAUGACCAAAUGCACAGAAUGCUUAUCCUCAUACGCUCCUUUAAGCUCCACAAUGUUAGGCUGACCAGUCAGGUGAUGCAUUAUCUGCACUUCCCUUCUUACAUCCUCGAUGUCUUCUUUGUUCACAAGCUUCCUUUUGGCAAUGGUCUUGCAAGCGAACUGCUGACCUGUCGCCUUCUGAGUGCAGAGAUGCGUGACGCCGAACUGUCCUCGGCCUAGCUCUUUGCCUAGAGAGUAUGAGGAUUUUACAUCUUCCAUGGGACGGCCUAAGACAGGUCCUAUGGGGCCUUGUUUGGUUGCGGGAGGAGGAGAAGGAGGGGCGUGUUUGGAUUGUGGCACGGAGGCUUCGGCAGUUGGACCAGCGUUUGAAGCGGUUAUGCCGCGCGUGUCUCCGUUGUCGCCUGAGUCACGUCCGUUAGAGCAGCAGUUUCCCAUUGUUGCAUUAAAGGGUGAUGAGAGGAGA